rnacentral:pre_miRNA from 1 species
AAUAAGUUCACUUUUUAGUUUUUAUACAGUAUUUGACUAUUCGUCCUAUUUAAUUUUUUACAAUUAAUACUUUUAUUGUUAUUAAAUGAUAAAACAUGAAUAGCACUUUAUGCGUGAAUAACUUUUUUGAAUUUUUUUAUAAAUUUUUCAAGUAAUACAGAUGGUGAAACGCUAGACACCAGAAAAAAUAAACUCUUUUAGA